rnacentral:rRNA from 1 species
CUACGGGUGGCAGCAGUGGGGAAUAUUGCACAAUGGGCGCAAGCCUGAUGCAGCCAUGCCGCGUGUAUGAAGAAGGCCUUCGGGUUGUAAAGUACUUUCAGUUGUGAGGAAGGCAGUUGCGUUAAUAGCGUAAUUGUUUGACGUUAGCAACAGAAGAAGCACCGGCUAACUCCGUGCCAGCAGCCGCGGUAAUACGGAGGGUGCGAGCGUUAAUCGGAAUUACUGGGCGUAAAGCGCAUGCAGGUGGUCUGCUAAGUCAGACGUGAAAGCCCCGGGCUUAACCCGGGAUGGUCAUUUGAAACUGGCAGGCUAGAGUACUGUAGAGGGGGGUAGAAUUUCAGGUGUAGCGGUGAAAUGCGUAGAGAUCUGAAGGAAUACCGGUGGCGAAGGCGGCCCCCUGGACAGAUACUGACACUCAGAUGCGAAAGCGUGGGGAGCAAACAGGAUUAGAUACCCCUGUAGUC